GACGAACGCUGGCGGCGUGCUUAACACAUGUAAGUCGAACGGAAAGGCCCUGCUUUUGUGGGGUGCUCGAGUGGCGAACGGGUGAGUAACACGUGAGUAACCUGCCCUUGACUUUGGGAUAACUUCAGGAAACUGGGGCUAAUACCGGAUAGGAGCUCCUGCUGCAUGGUGGGGGUUGGAAAGUUUCGGCGGUUGGGGAUGGACUCGCGGCUUAUCAGCUUGUUGGUGGGGUAGUGGCUUACCAAGGCUUUGACGGGUAGCCGGCCUGAGAGGGUGACCGGCCACAUUGGGACUGAGAAACGGCCCAGACUCCUACGGGAGGCAGCAGUGGGGAAUAUUGCAUAAUGGGCGGAAGCCUGAUGCAGCAACGCCGCGUGCGGGAUGACGGCCUUCGGGUUGUAAACCGCUUUCGCCUGUGACGAAGCGUGAGUGACGGUAAUGGGUAAAGAAGCACCGGCUAACUACGUG
rnacentral:rRNA from 1 species